GACGAACGCUGGCGGCGUGCCUAAUACAUGCAAGUUGAGCGCUGAAGGUUGGUACUUGUACCAACUGGAUGAGCAGCGAACGGGUGAGUAACGCGUGGGGAAUCUGCCUUUGAGCGGGGGACAACAUUUGGAAACGAAUGCUAAUACCGCAUAAAAACUUUAAACACAAGUUUUAAGUUUGAAAGAUGCAAUUGCAUCACUCAAAGAUGAUCCCGCGUUGUAUUAGCUAGUUGGUGAGGUAAAGGCUCACCAAGGCGAUGAUACAUAGCCGACCUGAGAGGGUGAUCGGCCACAUUGGGACUGCGACACGGCCCAAACUCCUACGGGAGGCAGCAGUAGGGAAUCUUCGGCAAUGGACGAAAGUCUGACCGAGCAAUGCCGCGUGAGUGAAGAAGGUUUUCGGAUCGUAAAACUCUGUUGGUAGAGAAGAACGUUGGUGAGAGUGGAAAGCUCAUCAAGUGACGGUAACUACCCAGAAAGGGACGGCUAACUACGUG
rnacentral:rRNA from 1 species